rnacentral:rRNA from 1 species
GAUGAACGCUAGCGGCAGGCCUAACACAUGCAAGUCGAGGGGUAGAGGAAGCUUGCUUCCUUGAGACCGGCGCACGGGUGCGUAACGCGUAUGCAAUCUACCUUUUACAGAGGGAUAGCCCAGAGAAAUUUGGAUUAAUACCUCAUAGUAUCUUUGCCUGGCAUCGGGUGAUUAUUAAAGUUCCAACGGUAAAAGAUGAGCAUGCGUCCUAUUAGCUAGAUGGUAAGGUAACGGCUUACCAUGGCAACGAUAGGUAGGGGUCCUGAGAGGGAGAUCCCCCACACUGGUACUGAGACACGGACCAGACUCCUGCGGGAGGCAGCAGUGAGGAAUAUUGGACAAUGGGCGCAAGCAUGAUCCAGCCAUGCCGCGUGCAGGAAGACGGUCCUAUGGAUUGUAAACUGCUUUUGUACGGGAAGAAACACUCCUACGUGUAGGAGCUUGACGGUACCGUAAGAAUAAGGAUCGGCUAACUCCGUGCCAGCCGCCGCAGUAAUAC